rnacentral:rRNA from 1 species
GAUGAACGCUAGCGGCAGGCUUAACACAUGCAAGUCGAGGGGCAGCGAGAUAGUUAGCAAUAACGAUUGUCGGCGACCGGCGCAAGGGUGCGUAACGCGUGAGCAACUUGCCCGUUUCUGGGGAAUAACCGUUGGAAACGACGACUAAUACCCCAUAGUAUCCGAUUGAGGCAUCUCUUUGGGAUUAAAGAAAUUCGGAAACGGAUAGGCUCGCGUGACAUUAGCUAGACGGCGGGGUAACGGCCCACCGUGGCAACGAUGUCUAGGGGUUCUGAGAGGAAGGUCCCCCACACUGGAACUGAGACACGGUCCAGACUCCUACGGGAGGCAGCAGUGAGGAAUAUUGGUCAAUGGUCGAGAGACUGAACCAGCCAUGCCGCGUGAAGGUGACGGCCCUAUGGGUCUUAAACUUCUUUUGUAAGGGAGCAAUAAGGGUCACGCGUGGCCCGAUGAGAGUACCUUACGAAUAAGCAUCGGCUAACUCCGUG